rnacentral:rRNA from 1 species
UACGAAGGGGGGCUAGCGUUGCUCGGAAUGACUGGGCGUAAAGGGCGCGUAGGCGGAUGGCACAGUCAGAUGUGAAAUUCCCGGGCUUAACCUGGGGGGCUGCAUUUUGAUACGUGUUGUCUUGAGUUCGGAAGAGGGUCGUGGAAUUCCCAGUGUAGAGGUGAAAUUCGUAGAUAUUGGGAAGAACACCGGUGGCGAAGGCGGCGACCUGGUCCGACACUGACGCUGAGCGCGAAAGCGUGGGGAGCAAACAGG